ensembl:lincRNA
AAUGUUGAGUCUUCUGGAGUUCUUCAACUCAAAAUUAAGUGCCCACUUUUGUCUCCUUUCUAUUUCUAGGAUUUCUUUUCUCCUUGAGAAGUAGAUAGAGGAUCUGAGGACAGCAGCCAUAAGUCAUGGCCUGCUUUGAAGACCAGCAGAUGGGAGAGAUAGGCAUCCUGAGACAUUCUUUCUUUGGUAUCCUCAACACUACUAUCAAUAUAUUUGUUGGAAGGGGCAUGAUGAUGCUGCAAAAAAAUCAGCAUAUUACCUUGAACCUCACAAAGACUGGACUAGGACCUGCAGACUUCUGUUCAGUUCCAGAUUAUUUGGAGGGCCUGAAGAGACCCUUGGGGUCAUGGGCAUCAGAAGAUUCCCUGACAACUGAUCUGGGCAUCACAUCAUGCAUGCAAAGGAAGAUUUAACAGCACCACAGCAGAGCCAUGCAUAGGAGCACAUAAUCAUUCAAGCUCCAGGACAUGAGAGGGGAAGGAAUCAUCAGCUCUGGGAAGGGCAAAUUCCAGAGGACCUUCUAGAGGUGACCCUAGAGCCAUGUUAAAGAUGGAGAGGGACUGUACCUUUGGCAGAAGUCGCAGAGAGGAAGACAUCAGCACUGGGAGACCUGGAGAGUGCAAGGACAAGGAGAAGAGAAUGCUGAGGCACUGUGCUGAUGAGUGGUAAGGGUCUGCUCCCGUGGGUGGACAGGUUGAAGGCGGCCUUGAUGAUCAGGCAGAAGUGGAUGGGCUUGAUAAAUGAGCUAUGAACCAGUGCAACGUACCCUGGCAAGAGAAACACUGUAAAUGUGGUGUUUAAGGUAGCUAUUUGGAGAAUAUUUGUUUUUGGUCUUUGAACAAGUAACUAGGAAAAAUAUUUAACUUUUUAUUUUGAAGUAAACUUACAGGAAAGUUGCAAACAUACUACAGAGAUUUCUCAUUUACCUUUCACUCAGCUUCCCCAAUAACAUGUCACAUACCAUAAUACUAUUACCAAACCCAGCAAAUCAGCAUUGGUAAACUAUUAUUAAAUAAUUUGCAGACGUUAUUCAAAUUCCUACAGUUUUCCCACUACUCUCUGUUGUUUUACUGGUCCGGGAUCCAAUCCAGGAUUCCACUUUGCAUGUAGUGAUUAUGUCUCCUUCGUCUUCUCCACACUGAGACAUUUCUUCAGGUUUUCUUUGUCUUUCAUGACCUUGACACUUUUGGAGAGUCCAGACUAGUUAUUUUGUGGAAUGUCCCUCAGUUUGGGUUUGUCUGGUGUUUUCUUAUGAUUAGAUUGAGAUUGUGGAUUUUUGGCAAGAAUACCACUGAAGCGAUGAUGUCUUCUGGGCACACCUCACCAAUGGGUACAUGGUAUCAGUAUGUCUUAUUAUUGGUGAUAUUAAUUUUGAUCAUAUGGCCAAAAUAGGCCUACCAAGUUUCUGCAAUGUGAAGUUACUAUUAGGAAAAAAAAUGGUUUGAAAUCACAUUUCAUGGGAUCUUAUUAAAUUCUUACAGAUUGAUCUGAUUAUGUAUUUGUCUUUAAAAUGGGUUGCUCAUUCAGUCAUUCAGUUAUUACUUACUGAGGACUUACUAUGUGUCAGGCAUUGUGCUGGAAAUGGCCGUGAACAAGACAGAUGGGGUCCCCACCCUUGUGGAAUCUAGUGGGAGAAAACAUUAAACUGAACAUCACCAGGUUGGAGUAGAAACACGUAACAAGGAGCUGUAAGUAGUUUGAGAGUAGGGAAAUGCAUGGUGGCAGGGUCAGGGGAAGAUGGUGAAGCUGAGACCUGAGGGGCAAUGAGAGUUAUUCAGGGGGAGGGGGAUUGACUCUUAGGUGGGAGUUCCUUUCUGACUAUUUUUUAGCUUCCAUUUUUAAUUAGAGAAAUUUAUAUUCAUUAUUAGAAAACAAAU